rnacentral:tRNA from 1 species
GCCUGGGUGGCUCAGUCGGUUGAGCGUCUGACUUCAGCUCAGGUCAAGAUCUCAUGGCUCCUGAGUUCAAGCCCGGCAUCAGGCU